AGUCGGAACUCGGGUUCACUCAGUCUACGACCGUUUGCCACGAGACUUCGAUCACAUCGGUCUUUCCUCGUCUCUCUCUUCCUCUCCUCCCUUCUUUUUCCCGCUUGGAGGACAGAAAGCAACUACCACCACCACCGCCACUCGACGCCGUCGACGCCGACGCCGCCACCGCCACUAUCGCCACCACCACCGCCACUGUCACCGCCACCGACGACCGGAGAGACGCACGUAGUCUAAACGUGAGACUCGUACGGACGUUGUCGUCGUCCUCGCCGGUUGCCUCUUCGUACACUCUGUUUUUCGAGCCAGCCCUCCGAUUCUACAUCGACUUCGUCCACCGUCGAUCAUCGUCUACGAUCAACAACAAAAAGUUGGGAUUGCCUGGAGCACAAUAGUUCCGGCGGAACGCAAAUAGAGGAACCAGUGCAUCCGGUCGUCGAUUUUAAG
rnacentral:misc_RNA from 1 species